CAGUCGCCACGGUAAUACGAAGGGUGCAAGCGUUAAUCGGAAUUACUGGGCGUAAAGGGUGCGUAGGCGGUUAGUUAAGUCUGUCGUGAAAUCCCCGGGCUCAACCUGGGAAUUGCAGUGGAUACUGGGUCACUAGAGUGUGGUAGAGGAUAGUGGAAUUUCCGGUGUAGCAGUGAAAUGCGUAGAGAUCGGAAGGAACAUCUGUGGCGAAGGCGACUAUCUGGGCCAACACUGACACUGAGGCACGAAAGCGUGGGGAGCAAACAGGAUUAGAUACCCCAGUAGUCCCUGUCUCUUAUAC
rnacentral:rRNA from 1 species